rnacentral:tRNA from 1 species
GAAGGCAUAACUCAAGCAGUAGAGCCCCUGCCUGGCAAGUAUGAGAUCCUGAGUUCAAAUCUUAGUACCAUCA